GGUUAAGCGACUAAGCGUACACGGUGGAUGCCCUGGCAGUCAGAGGCGAUGAAGGACGUGCUAAUCUGCGAUAAGCGUCGGUAAGGUGAUAUGAACCGUUAUAACCGGCGAUUUCCGAAUGGGGAAACCCAGUGUGAUUCGUCACACUAUCAUUAACUGAAUCCAUAGGUUAAUGAGGCGAACCGGGGGAACUGAAACAUCUAAGUACCCCGAGGAAAAGAAAUCAACCGAGAUUCCCCCAGUAGCGGCGAGCGAACGGGGAGCAGCCCAGAGCCUGAAUCAGUGUGUGUGUUAGUGGAAGCGUCUGGAAAGGCGCGCGAUACAGGGUGACAGCCCCGUACACAAAAAUGCACAUACUGUGAGCUCGAUGAGUAGGGCGGGACACGUGGUAUCCUGUCUGAAUAUGGGGGGACCAUCCUCCAAGGCUAAAUACUCCUGACUGACCGAUAGUGAACCAGUACCGUGAGGGAAAGGCGAAAAGAACCCCGGCGAGGGGAGUGAAAAAGAACCUGAAACCGUGUACGUACAAGCAGUGGGAGCACAGAGCAAUCUGUGUGACUGCGUACCUUUUGUAUAAUGGGUCAGCGACUUAUAUUCUGUAGCAAGGUUAACCGAAUAGGGGAGCCGAAGGGAAACCGAGUCUUAACUGGGCGUUAAGUUGCAGGGUAUAGACCCGAAACCCGGUGAUCUAGCCAUGGGCAGGUUGAAGGUUGGGUAACACUAACUGGAGGACCGAACCGACUAAUGUUGAAAAAUUAGCGGAUGACUUGUGGCUGGGGGUGAAAGGCCAAUCAAACCGGGAGAUAGCUGGUUCUCCCCGAAAGCUAUUUAGGUAGCGCCUCGUGAAUUCAUCUCCGGGGUAGAGCACUGUUUCGGCAAGGGGGUCAUCCCGACUUACCAACCCGAUGCAAACUGCGAAUACCGGAGAAUGUUAUCACGGGAGACACACGGCGGGUGCUAACGUCCGUCGUGAAGAGGGAAACAACCCAGACCGCCAGCUAAGGUCCCAAAGUCAUGGUUAAGUGGGAAACGAUGUGGGAAGGCCCAGACAGCCAGGAUGUUGGCUUAGAAGCAGCCAUCAUUUAAAGAAAGCGUAAUAGCUCACUGGUCGAGUCGGCCUGCGCGGAAGAUGUAACGGGGCUAAACCAUGCACCGAAGCUGCGGCAGCGACGCUUAUGCGUUGUUGGGUAGGGGAGCGUUCUGUAAGCCUGUGAAGGUGUACUGUGAGGUAUGCUGGAGGUAUCAGAAGUGCGAAUGCUGACAUAAGUAACGAUAAAGCGGGUGAAAAGCCCGCUCGCCGGAAGACCAAGGGUUCCUGUCCAACGUUAAUCGGGGCAGGGUGAGUCGACCCCUAAGGCGAGGCCGAAAGGCGUAGUCGAUGGGAAACAGGUUAAUAUUCCUGUACUUGGUGUUACUGCGAAGGGGGGACGGAGAAGGCUAUGUUGGCCGGGCGACGGUUGUCCCGGUUUAAGCGUGUAGGCUGGUUUUCCAGGCAAAUCCGGAAAAUCAAGGCUGAGGCGUGAUGACGAGGCACUACGGUGCUGAAGCAACAAAUGCCCUGCUUCCAGGAAAAGCCUCUAAGCAUCAGGUAACAUCAAAUCGUACCCCAAACCGACACAGGUGGUCAGGUAGAGAAUACCAAGGCGCUUGAGAGAACUCGGGUGAAGGAACUAGGCAAAAUGGUGCCGUAACUUCGGGAGAAGGCACGCUGAUAUGUAGGUGAAGUCCCUCGCGGAUGGAGCUGAAAUCAGUCGAAGAUACCAGCUGGCUGCAACUGUUUAUUAAAAACACAGCACUGUGCAAACACGAAAGUGGACGUAUACGGUGUGACGCCUGCCCGGUGCCGGAAGGUUAAUUGAUGGGGUUAGCGCAAGCGAAGCUCUUGAUCGAAGCCCCGGUAAACGGCGGCCGUAACUAUAACGGUCCUAAGGUAGCGAAAUUCCUUGUCGGGUAAGUUCCGACCUGCACGAAUGGCGUAAUGAUGGCCAGGCUGUCUCCACCCGAGACUCAGUGAAAUUGAACUCGCUGUGAAGAUGCAGUGUACCCGCGGCAAGACGGAAAGACCCCGUGAACCUUUACUAUAGCUUGACACUGAACAUUGAGCCUUGAUGUGUAGGAUAGGUGGGAGGCUUUGAAGUGUGGACGCCAGUCUGCAUGGAGCCGACCUUGAAAUACCACCCUUUAAUGUUUGAUGUUCUAACGUGGACCCGUGAUCCGGGUUGCGGACAGUGUCUGGUGGGUAGUUUGACUGGGGCGGUCUCCUCCUAAAGAGUAACGGAGGAGCACGAAGGUUGGCUAAUCCUGGUCGGACAUCAGGAGGUUAGUGCAAUGGCAUAAGCCAGCUUGACUGCGAGCGUGACGGCGCGAGCAGGUGCGAAAGCAGGUCAUAGUGAUCCGGUGGUUCUGAAUGGAAGGGCCAUCGCUCAACGGAUAAAAGGUACUCCGGGGAUAACAGGCUGAUACCGCCCAAGAGUUCAUAUCGACGGCGGUGUUUGGCACCUCGAUGUCGGCUCAUCACAUCCUGGGGCUGAAGUAGGUCCCAAGGGUAUGGCUGUUCGCCAUUUAAAGUGGUACGCGAGCUGGGUUUAGAACGUCGUGAGACAGUUCGGUCCCUAUCUGCCGUGGGCGCUGGAGAAUUGAGGGGGGCUGCUCCUAGUACGAGAGGACCGGAGUGGACGCAUCACUGGUGUUCGGGUUGUCAUGCCAAUGGCACUGCCCGGUAGCUAAAUGCGGAAGAGAUAAGUGCUGAAAGCAUCUAAGCACGAAACUUGCCCCGAGAUGAGUUCUCCCUGACUCCUUGAGAGUCCUGAAGGAACGUUGAAGACGACGACGUUGAUAGGCCGGGUGUGUAAGCGCAGCGAUGCGUUGAGCUAACCGGUACUAAUGAACCGUGAGGCUUAACCUU
rnacentral:rRNA from 1 species